ACAAUUUGCCUUUCAGUUCAUUCUCAGAGAAUUCUAUCCGAAAGGCUUACAAUUCAUAUUUUCAUGUAGCACAGGGAGGCAGGUAGUUAGUUGCCUGCAAGUAAAUUGCUUUUCAAUUUAUGAACAACACUUGCAAUUAAGAAGGCCCGCUCUGAUGAUUCGACUUCUUUAAAAGGCCACCAUGAAUCUGCUCUUCUCCUCCGCGGCCAGCUGUCUUCAAAUGUUCCACUAGAAGUAUUUUCACACAGCAAUUUUCAGACUAGCACAAGUGCCGGGCGGCAGGAGGAGGAGCAGCAGCAGCAGCAGCAGCAGCAGCAGCCGCAUCAGGAGAGGAAAAAAGGAAAAAGAAAAACAAAAUAUUAUCAAACAUGGUACAGUCAGCAUACAAGGACUCGCACACCAGCUGCCCGCCAUGUCCUGGCCCAAAGGACAUGGGCGACCAGCAAGGAGGGGCGACGCAUGCACGUGAACUAUGGCCAAAACAUUCGCACACUGAGGAAAACUCGGUGCUUUAUCCGGGCUGGUUCUGAGCCCGAAAAAAUAAUACUUUGAAAUGCAUGAAAUGCAAUAUGCUUUAGAAAUUA